UCAGUUCUCACAAGUGAAAAAUAGAGAUCAUUUUGUUUUGGCAUCAGUGGCGGUGACAGAGAGAGGAGCACAGCAUGGGAACCCCAUGAAAAGCAUGGCAAGGCUGUUCUGGAAUCAAGGAAUAAAAGGCACCAGUGCCAGUUGCCACCUUCCAGUCGCUGGAAUGGGAUGAUCUGGGUAGUUGGGUAGACUUGGAGUUCCAGUUCUAACUUGGAAUUCCUGAACCUACUGCCUCUAUGGUGCUGUUCUACACCCAGCCACUAAUCUGUCCCCUGAGCAGUUACAGGCUUCCUUUCUCCUUUACUUUAAGCUUUCCUCCAGAAGCAGAUGACAAAAUGCAGCACGAAGGCACUGCAGGAUCCUGCUCCCAUGGGUCUGGUGGGCCUCCUAAUGAGCAAGGAAAAUUGCUGAGAAUGAGAUUUUGGUAGCUAAGCCUGUCUUA